AACUGGUCUGAAGGCAGUGAGCUAUCUAUCUCACUUUGAUUAUUCACAGUUAGUUACAGAUAGAACUAUUCUCUCCAGAGAGAAAACUCUUUCCCUCCUUCUCGCUACUGCACUUGAGAAGUCUUUA
ensembl:Y_RNA Y_RNA Y RNA